rnacentral:rRNA from 1 species
GCGCAAGCCUGACCGAGCGACGCCGCGUGUGCGAUGAAGGCCUUCGGGUUGUAAAGCACUGUCGAGGGGAAGAAAGCCGCAAGGUUGAUCGACCCCUGGAGGAAGCACGGGCUAAGUUCGUGCCAGCAGCCGCGGUAAGACGAACCGUGCGAACGUUGUUCGGAUUCACUGGGCUUAAAGGGCGCGUAGGCGGGUGGUCAAGUCCGGGGUGAAAGCUUUCGGCUCAACCGGAAAAGGGCCUUGGAUACUGGCCGCCUAGAGGGAGGUAGGGGCAGGUGGAACUUCCGGUGGAGCGGUGAAAUGCGUAGAUAUCGGAAGGAACGCCGGUGGCGAAAGCGGCCUGCUGGAUCUCUACUGACGCUGAGGCGCGAAAGCUAGGGGAGCAAACGGGAUUAGAUACCCCGGUAGUCCUAGCCCUAAACGAUGGGUACUAGAUGGUAGACUGGACAUGGGUUUACCAUCGAAGCAAAAGUGUUAGGUACCCCGCCUGGGGAGUAUG